rnacentral:rRNA from 1 species
UACGUAGGUGACCAGCGUUGUCCGGAUUUACUGGGCGUAAAGAGCGCGCAGGCGGUCGUCAAGUCGAGUGUGAAAGCCCCCGGCUCAACUGGGGAGGGUCACUCGAUACUGAUCGACUUGAAGGCAGGAGAGGGAAGCGGAAUUCCCGGUGUAGCGGUGAAAUGCGCAGAUAAUCGGGAGGAACACCGGUGGCGAAGGCGGUUCUCUGGGCCUGUACUGACGCUGAGGAGCGAAAGCGUGGGGAGCGAACAGG